AAUAAUUCAUGAGAACAAUGAGAGAGUGUUUGGGAAUCACUGAUUGAGCUCACGUCUCAAAUGUCUUCAGUCAACAUCUCAAUAACGUUUUGAACACUGCGGGCACCUUGUCAGUGAAGCCGUCCGUCAUUGGCUCCUCACUGUCUUUUUCCGAAUGUUCCAGAAGACCGGAAGUGUCGAGACGUUCCUCCUGCCGCCGUCCCUCUGUCUCCACGAUCAGCGACUCUGACGCCACCGUCUGGAUGAUGACGCCAUCGCUGGCGCACAGGCCGUCCGUCUACAAAAUUGUUUACAUUAAAGAAUAUAUACUUCUUAUCACAAGAGAAAACGCUGGAAGCAGUUUGGACGCACCGCCAGGCUGUGAAAGAUGAUGUGCUCGUGGGAUGCGGAGGAGGAGCUCGUCGUCAAGGUGCGCGAUCUGCAGCGGGAUCUGCAGCGCCGCCGAGCCGCCACCGCUUUCCUCCAAGCGACCCACGCGGAUCUGCAGCGAGGAGACGGAGGACGGGCUGCACGAUCCGCCCGCCGACUGCGAGGAUGACAUCAUCACCUCGUGGAGCGCCUUGAGCAGCACUGGAAACACACAAACGCGCACAUGUCGGCAUGCAAGUACUAUUCGAUAUAGUUCAUUAAAAAGCCCAAUAAAUUUGUAUUUAAAAAUGUAUUUGUGUGCA